UGGAGCGUGUGGUUUAAUUCGAUGCUACGCGAGGAACCUUACCAAGGCUUGACAUGCUAGAUGUAGUUUGGUGGAAACAUUGAGCGAUCCGUAUCCAAUCGGAAGCUAGCACAGGUGCUGCAUGGCUGUCGUCAGCUCGUGCCGUGAGGUGUUCCCUUAAGUGGGACAACGAGCGCAACCCUCGUUCUUAGUUGCUAACUUUGGUGAAUAACUGAGGUGCACUCUAAGGAGACUGCCUACGUUAAGUAGGAGGAAGGCGGGGAUGACGUCAAGUCAGCAUGGCCUUUAUAUCUUGGGCA
rnacentral:rRNA from 1 species